rnacentral:lncRNA from 1 species
UUUGAUGUGGAAAAGAGAAUUUCAACUUAGUUGCACAAGUGGAUUCCACAUGGACCAUUCUAGACCUGUCAGUAACUACCCUGUCCCCCCCCCCCCCCCCCCCCCCCCCCCCCAACAACACCCUAACAGCUACCCUCCACUGCCAUCUACCGCUCCUUAUGCCCCCUCCACAACCUAAUAACCCUUACUAUUACAACCAAUCGCUAGCAUAUCCCAACCCACACACCACAUUCCUCUAUCGUAUAGUCGUAGCUAUAAUUGUUGUUACUGUUAUUUUCUUUACUAUCCUCUUCAUAUGCUGGUUGGUUAUCUACCCUCACGAUUCGAAAUUUCACUUUUUUCUAUUACUAAUUUGAACGUAUCUACUUCCUCAUAGAGACUGUCAAUGAACUAGAACGCCUGCUUCCAGGUUUGUGCAGACCCCCAACAACAAAGUGAAGAUCUCCUACGAUGCAAUCAUGUCUUAUGUUCUUUACAAAAUAAAUAUAUUAGCGCAGACUUGAAUUUCACCUUUCAGACAAAGAUCAGGGAACUUAACUAGUGGAGCACGGGAAUGCAAGGUUUGCAAAUGAGUGAAAUUUAGAAUUGUUAGUUUGAUCUUGUUAUCUCGUGUUCUAACUUAAGGUGUAAUUUUAUUUUCAAGAAAAAAAAUAAAAUUUAUUAUAUUCCUUUCUAGCAAUUGAUGGGGUCUGAUACAUGGAUUUAGGCUUUUAGGGCUAGAAAUCUCUUUCUUUAUGAUUGUAGAGUAUUUUUAAAUAAUGUUAAUUUGAUUUUUAUGGUUUUAAUUGCAUAUGGUGCUUUUGAUUUGAUAUUAGUCUCCAAUACAAAUUGCAAUUUUGUUAGAAAUAACUACGUAAUGCAGAAAUUAAUCAAGGAGUUGUAAAAUUCAUGAAAUUUGCGAUAAAUUGAUAUAUAAAUUUUAAGUUUUGAAAAAAUUAUUCUUCGGCCACCAUUGACGGUAGCGCUAAUGGCUACCACUUACACAGAGGAGCAUGGAUCGAAUUUGAUUUAAGAAUAUAAAAUGUUAACCAAAAAAGAAAAAAAAAAAAAAUAGAACUCGAGUAUGAACCGCUAGGUUUGGAAGGAGAAAGAAAGAUAUGAAGAUGGUGGCGAUGGUGUUUUUAGUAUUGUUGGUGGAGAUUGAAGGAGCUAGUUUUGUUGGUGUUGAAGGGGUGGUGGUGAUGGUGUUAGCUGGUGGAGAGAGAAAGAUAUGAAAGAUUUGGGUAUUAUUAAGGGCAACUCCAACAGGAUUAUGGAUUAUAACCUAUGUAAUUGCCAAAUCAGAAAAAUGGACAUUUGAACAACAAUAUCUUUUUCAAUGCUAUUGUUUAUUCAAUCUGUUAAGCUGACGUGUAAAAAAAAAAAAAAGUAGACGCUGUGAAUCACACCCUCUACUUCACACCCUCUAAUUUCAAAAAAUCCGUUAGAUAGUGUGACUCCGCUAUUUAAUUCUUUUUUUACUAUUAAUUUUAUUUUCUUUUUCCACCAUUUUCUCUCACGCUAAAACUUCCCAUGCUCAACUUAUUUUCUUUUAUUUUAGUUAGAUAUAAAGUUAAAAAAGUGAUACACAUUAUCGUAAAAUCGUAUUCUAAUUAAGAUACAUUGGAGAGACUUUUUUCAAAUUCAAUAUUCACAAAUAAAUUUAUAGCCACAUCACUGUUAAUGUAUUCUAUUUAAUAUGUCAUAUAAGCCACAACCCCUAAGGACAAUAAAAAGUUGACAGGACAAUAAAAAGUUGACAUAUAUGUCCGCGUGGAAUCCAGUCAUGUAGCUGAGUUGGAAUUCUUCUUCUCCAUAUUAGAUACCAUGUGUAAAAUGUAAAACUCACAACAAUGUCAUGUUACAUUUUCGAUUUUUUUAUCGGAAAUUCACCUGAGUCACUUUUAUGCUACAAACACCAAAAUUUAGAAAGUUUUAGGAUACAAUUUUAAAAUGAGAUACUUUAAAGUGAUUAUCCCUAAAACGAGGAACCUCGGGUGAGAAUAAGCCUCAAUUUUCUUAAACUUGUCUAAGAAGAUUAUUAUAGUGUUUACAUGUAAACAAAAUGGAGCUGAACUAGUUUACCAUGCGCCAAAAUUAAUUGUAAAAGUGAACCAUGACUUGCCCUUUUCCGACUUUUCUUGGAAAAGGCCCCACCUAUUUAUUCGGGAAUAAUAUAUGUUAAGAUUGUGCUUGCAAGAUAAGAAACAAGUCAAUCUCCCAAAGAUUUGAAAUAAAUCAACUUUUGCUUUUUUGUAGAAUUCUUAUUCGUUAGUACAUUGAAAUUUUAAAGAAGCUUGGAAGAAAAACCAGUGGGGUAGAAUUAAACUAUUAUCUUUUGGUCUUUUCCACAAAUUGAUGAAUUUUCUAAGAAAAAUUAUUAUUUAAUCCUUUUAAUUUAGUAAAAUUAACUGUUUAAUUUUUUGUAUUUUUGAAAAAUACAUUAUCUUGCAUUUUGCAACCGUUGAACAUAUUUCUUUUUAUUAAAAUUUGUAAUUUUUUACAGUUAAGUGCUUAUACAAAAAGAGUAAAAAUAUUCUUUAUCCUUUUUUAAUUAUUUGCUAAAAGAAAAAAUAAUUUUUUAACAAUAUGAAUAAUUCAUUUUUUCUUUUAACAUAUUAUUUUGUAAUAAUAUGAAUUAAUCAUUCACAUUAUUAAAAAAAAUUUUAGUCUUUUGUUAGUUCAAUCCAGAAAAUAAUAAUAUUUGAUAACUUAUUUAAAUCAACAAAUAAUAAUAUCUAUGAAAGUUUACAUAUUUAUGAUAUUUUCUAUCUGAAUUGAUUCAAAUUAAAAUUUCAACAAUAAAAAUAUUAAAUAUACAUUCAUAUUAAAAAUUUAAUUGAGAUAUUAAAUAUAAAAUAUUAAUUUUUACUCAAAAUAAUGAGUUAUAAAAUGAUAAUGAGUAAAUUACUUACAGAUAAAUAGAUACAAUACUAAACUUUGAUCUUUACCGUAUAAAGGUGGAUGUACAAGUGAAACAACCCGAAAAUUUAUUUUCAAAAAUUUUUCAUUUAAAAAUUUAAUCAUAAAACCUAACCAAUGAAAUUAACAGAAAAAUAUUUUAUUAUUACUAAACCGGACUCAUAAAUCAGUUUUGAUUUUUUGAAAACAGAGUGAAAAUCCAGUAAACCAAGCAAAAUCGGACCAAACUGUUGAUUUGAACCAAACCGGUUCAAAUCGAAUCGGAAUGGCCCAGAGUUCUCUAGAAUCAUCUUUUUCUUCCGUUUUUCUUUUCUCUUCUCCUUCUUCUUCCUCCUGCGCGCGACAGCCCUCUCCUCCUUUGUUCACUGCGUUUUCUUUUCAAUGCAAUGACUACAGAUCUGUCAAACAAUUGGAAAUAAGACACAAAAAAUUAUCGUUAUUCGUGGAAAGAAUCAAUGCUGCGAGAUUUGCGUGUUCCUUUCACGACUAGUAAUAAUAAUAUUCUAACACCUUUUCCGACUAAGAAUAUAAAUUCAAUUUUCCUUUUUACUCACAAAUUAAAAUUGAUAUCAAUAAAUUUUUAUACUCUAAAACUUUCAAACUUAAACUUCACUGAUCUUUCAACAAAAUUAAAAUUUGUGAAGAAAAAGUAUCACAUGACAAACUCACAACAAAUUAUUUUUCUCUCUUCAAAAUAUUUAAUAUUCAAUGUUUAUAAAUAAAAAGUAAAUGUUACGGUAAUAUAUUGCUCUUUUUUAGUUUUCAACUUUUACCUUAGAAAAAGUUCUCUGUAUAUAUAUUUUUCUUAUCAGUUAUGGACAAAAUUUUUUAGCUGUAUUCAAAAAAAAUCUACUGAUAUAGAUUUAGUUUCAUUCAAAUUUAAUAAAUUUUUCAUUAUUAUUUUUAUUUAAUAAAACUGAUUUGAUUGCCGGCAAAAAAAAAUCCUUCUAAAUUACUUUUCCUAAUAUUCUUUUUCUCGUACAAAGUGAAAUUAUUUUAAAAAUAAAUGGACCCCACCUGCUUCAUUUUUCUAUGAAUGAAAAAAAUUUAGGUAAACGACACCAAAGACUUUGAUAUUUGAAAAAGACUUAUUAGGUACACGAGAAAAUAUUAGUUUUACUUUGGAAUAUUGUCUUUUUACAUCAGCAUCUUUACUUCGGAAUACUGUGUUAUAGUUAAUUUUUAAAUUAUCUAUUAUACAUUUAUUAAAAUUUUAACUCUUAUUAAAAUUUUUAAAUUGUCUAAUAUAAUAUUUGCUCAUGUGUUAUUUAAGAUGCAUAUAGUAGAAAAGUUAUAUGAAUAAUAUUAUCCAUAAGCUAUAAUAAUUGCUAACUUCUUAAUAUGUGUGAAAAUAAAAAAGUGGAGUAUCUUUUUGAGACAAAAUGAGUAUUAUUAUUGUAUAUAUAAGCAUGAGUAGUUACCGUUGCCACAACAGUAACUUUACCAUUUAACUAUUUUAUUAUACGUUAUUUGAUAAUACUUAAUACAUUUAGUAUUUCAUGUCCCGAAAAAAAUUAUUAAAUUUAUCUAAAUUAUAAUAAAUUAUUGAGUAAAUUGAUUAUAUUAUUCUUAAUUUAAUACUUCCAAACACUAAAUAAUUAUUGGCCAAAUAUAAGAAUAAAUAUGGAAAAAAGUUUUAUUACUCGUUAAAAUUAUAAAUAAAUAAAUUAUUUUCUUUAAUGUAACAAAUAUUAUAUAACCGAUAUCGUUUGAUUACAUUCAUGCUAUUUAAAUGAAUAAAAAAAAGAAAUAAAGUGGGAAGACAUUAUUCCCACAAUAAUGUGUUUCCAUUUAGCUCUUUCAUCCCUUCCUUAUCACAUUAUUUCCACUAAACUAUAUUUAUCUUUAACUACCAAUCCUUUCACAAGUUUGCCCCAUUUAUAAUGUUUCCUCAUUUAGACCCUUCCAUUCCUUUCUUAAUUACAUUACAGCUUUGCUCGUCGCCGGAGGUAUGUGAUAACUUUUAAAUCCUAGCUUGGCUCCUGGCCGGAGAUGUUAUUCUCACCGUAUGCAAAAGAAACAGAGAUGGUAAUGCUGCUUUAUAUCUCUUAUUGGCCGGUUGAGAUAAAUUCUUUAUGAUUUCAUUGAAUAAGGGACCAUAUUUUCUUCUUUAUGAUUUCUUCUUUCUAUCCAAAGAUAUUUCUUGGCUGAUAAGAAUUUUUUUUUUCUUUUUGAAAGCAAUUUAUUUGCAGUUUGUUUUCAUAUAAGUUUUUUACUUAACUAUCAGUUUUUUUUUUCUCUUAUUUUUUUGAAGAAGAAUUAGCAAACAAAAAUUAAAGUUUACAAAACCACAAAUUGUAACGUAUGAGAUUCUGUUUUAUGUUUUAAAAAAAUUACUUUCCUACAAUAUCUCCUUCUCUCAGAUAUAUCUUUUCUUUUUAUCUUGAUUUAUCUUAUUUUUUUCUGUAGAAUUUAUCUAGCUGGGCCUACUUUAUUUUUCAUCUAAUAUCAUCUACCUUAUUUAAACGAUUGAAACGUUAAUCCCAUCACUGAAAGUUUUUUCCUUUUUUAUCAUUUUCAGACAUGGUAGUUUGAGUUUAAAGACUUCCAUACUCCUCUAUCCUUCUAACAAAGAAGGUCAAUUCACCAGAUCAGCACUACCCGACAAGCUUCCUUCAGCGAUGACUUCUACACCUGAAGAUGCUUCAGAAAAAGGUAAAUUCUACGCAAUAUUUUGUAGAUUUUUAUUAUUGAGAUGUUAAACUAAAUUUUAUCAAAAUUUUAUAAAAAUAGAUGAAAUAUCAAAAUCAAUUCCGUAAAAUAAUCUAAUUUUUUAUGAAAAAAUUACGGAUCUCCUUUUACAAAGUUAUUUUUUAAUUUUUUAUUUAUUUAACUUAUUUAUUUUAUAAAAUUUGAUCAAAAUUAUUAAAAUUUUUUAAGAAAAAUAUUUUCUUGUUUAUUGUAUUUUUUAUUUUAAUAUUUUUUAAUAUUUCUUUACUAUUAAGUAGUGAAAAAGAUUUAAAUUAAAUAUAUAUUUAUCAUUAAAUUAAAUGUAAUAAUUUUAUUAAUAUUAUUUUUAUUUUAUAUAUUUCUUUCAAUAAAAAUAUAAAAAAAUUAUAUAGCAUAGUAGAAAUAUAAUUGAUAUUAUUUUUUAUUUUUUUGAAAUUAUUAUUUUAAAGAUAUUUUAAAAAAGGGAAAAUAAUUAUUUCGUCCAUGAGGUUUGACAUAAUUAUUUAAGUAGUUUCCGACAUUUAUGCAAGCAUUGAUAACGUCCCUGAGGUUUACUUACAUCAUAUUAAUUGGUCCUUCCGUCCAAAAAAUACACUUUUUCCGUUAAUUUUAAAGUUUUGGUGGUGAUUUGGUUAUGGAGAUGAUGGUUGACAGAGACACGGUGGUGGUACUGAAGACCGCAUUGGAUUAAGGAAGAUGAUGAAAAUUUGAGUUUUAGGUAUUUUAGAGGAAAGGGAUUGAGAAUAAUGUUAAUGAAAACUUAUAAAGGAUAAUUUUGUCUUUUCCUCUCAAAAUUAAAGGAAAAAGUGUAUUUUUUGGACAGAAGGACCAAUUAAUAUGACGGAAGUGAACAUAAUGUUAUAAAUAUUUGUAUAAAUGUCGAGGACUAAUUAAAUAAUUAUAAGCGAAAUAAUUAUUUUUCCCUUUAAAAAAUAAAAGUAAAAGAAUUUCAAUUAUUAAUUUAUUUUAUAUAUGAUUAGUGAACUCAAUUGAAUUACACGAUUUAAAUUAAGUAUACAAAAUAUAAAUAAUUAUUCAUAAAUAAAUUAUAUUCAAAUAUAUUUAUAAAUGAAUUUUAUAUUUUAAAUUCAUUUAUCAGAGUAUAAAAAAAAUUUAAAAGUUAAUAAAAAACUGUCACCCGCGAUGAAAGAAGUACGAAACAGCAACAAUAGUUUCUGACAUCCCAUUAAAAAGCACUUUAUUAAGCAUUGAUAAUCAUUUCGGGUGAAGCAAAGUGGUUUGAAAGCUUAGCCAAAGAGUUUAUUAGCCGAAGUUUCGUAGAGCCAGUAUACCAUCUCUCUCCAGAUUGCAUACAAAUAGCUGCAAAAUCAAAGAAUCAACUUUUGUUUCAAUCUCAAAUUUCGAUAGAAAAUGGUUUGGACAUUUUUUCUAUGACUCAUUAUAUCAAGUUAUUUGACAGUUUUGUAUUUUGAUUGUAUAAUGUGUUUUACAUUGGAAUCUAAACCUGAUUGCUUCUAUAUUAUUAUUUCUGGUUUUUAUGAAUCCUAUUUGCCUGUUAUGUUGAUUAGUUACUUUUCAAAUUGGGAUAAACUUUUAAUUAUUCUAUCCGAUAUAAUGUUGUUGCCUUCAAUUAUCUAGUUAUCAUUGGCUUUAGAUCUUAUUUAUUUAUUUUGAUAUAGAUAAUUAUGUGCAAAUUAUAUGAACAGGGAAUCCACAUUUACUUUGAUUGAGGCUGUUAUCUAUAAUGUUGAAUAAAACAGCUCUCUACUGUCUUUGCGCUUGAGUUCUGCUUUUGUUAACCUCCCACCGUCCCACGGGCCAUCUCUCACCCUAGAUUCUUUCAAAUCGCCGUUUUCUCCUUAACAGCAACGAAAGCCAAAACCAUUCAUCCACUGUCGACCAUGCGAACAUUGAAGCCCCACCAUUGCCAGAUAGCCCAGAGGUAAAUUGGGCUCUUUUUGGCUUCUAAUCUGUUACUUUUUUUUUUUUUUUUUGCUUUCAGAAGGUACAGUGUCCUUUGGGUAAAAUGGGUUUAUCAUCUUUUAUCAAUUGCUGCUUUAAUGCUGUGUUUGUUAAUAGGUAAGUUUCUUAUGGAUAAAGGAUUUUCUAGAUAAUGUUCUGUUUUUGUAAAAAGCUCAAACAAUUUUAAAUAAAUCAAGCAUAUAUUCAAUUUUAAACUUUAUCUAUGAUGUUGGAUAAAAGAGGUCUCUGUUGGCUUUAACGCUUUACUUCUGCUUUUGUUAACCUUCCACUGUCUCACGGGCCAUCUCUCACCCCAUAUUCCUUCAAGCCACCGCUUUCUCCUUAACAGUAAAGAAAGCCAAAACCAUUCAUCCGCUGUCUACCAUCCGCACAUUGAAGCCCCACCAUUGCCUGAUAGCCCAGANNNNNNNNNNNNNNNNNNNNNNNNNNNNNNNNNNNNNNNNNNNNNNNNNNNNNNNNNNNNNNNNNNNNNNNNNNNNNNNNNNNNNNNNNNNNNNNNNNNNNNNCAAUUGCUGCUUUCAAUACUGUGUUUGUUAAUAGGGAAUUUUUUAAUGGAUAAAGGAUUUUCUAGAUAAUGUUCUGUUUUUGUAAAAAGUUAUUACUUUGAAUACUUUUUUGAAAAAUGAAAAACUUGUUCCAUUAUAAGUCAUCAUUAUCUCAAACAAUUUUUAAUAAAUCAAGCAUAUAUUCAAUUUUAAAUUUUAUCUAUGAUGUUGAAUAAAAGAGGUCUCUGCUGCCUUUAACGCUUUAGUUCUGCUUUUGUUAACCUUCCACUGUCUCACAGGCUAUUUCUCACCCCAGAUUCCUUCAAAUCGCUGUUUUCUCCUUAACAGCAAUGCAAGCCAAAACCAUUCAUCUGCACAUUGAAGCCCCACCAUUACCAGACAUCCUAGAAGUAAUUUUUUUUUGGUUUUGGCUUUCGUUGCUGUUUAGGAGGAAACGGGCGUGCGAUUCCCUAUUUUAGGUGAUUAUCUCCUCCUUUUGCAAUUAGUGGGGGGUAAUUGUUAGCCAGAUUGCUCGGAACGACAUCCAUACGAUAUUGGGGGCUGAAAUUCUAACUCAGUAAGAAGGUUUUGGGCUCAACGUACAUCAAUUUCACACCAUAUUUAAUUCUAUUUGGAGAGGGGUUGAGGACCACCCUUACCUUACUGCUCAGAAGAAUUAAAAUUUGUUCCCCUUGAAGAGCCUGUCCAUAAAAAGAAGGUGAAAGGAGAAGUACUUCCUUAUUAGUCAUCAUCUGGAUUUUAGGAUACCUUCCAAUUGGAGCCGAUGGGCUCCUCAGUUGAGGCUUCCUCAGGUCUUGACCACUGUUGAGGCUAGGCAGGUCAAGGCCUUGAAGCGUUUUGGCCUAAAUCCUCCUCCCAUUGUUUCUUUGCUGGAUGCUAAUAUCCCAUUGGGUCCAAAAACUUGUGUUUCAAAGAUAAGGGGCCUAUAGGAAACUAGAGGUGAAUUAGGUCCUAAUUGUUCUCCUCUUAUUCCAUUAUUGACUUUUCUUUUAGCUUCUUUCUUUUUUGUAGAAAUGGGCCCAAGAUUGUCCAAGGAGAUGAAAGCGUGUUUGGCAGCGAAUAGAGACUAAUUAAUUGCCACUCAGUCUGGGUAGAGCCUUGGGGAGGCUAGGGAACCCAGCGCUCUAGCCUAAGGCGCUCUGAGGUGACGGUUAUAGUGUCUCCCGUGUGUCCUCUUAUGGUCGAGCUACCUACAUCUGAUCCCCUGAGUGUGACGGCUUCUGAUCCACCAGUUGCUCUUCCUGCUGGCUAGAAAACUAUUGUGCCAAAGAGAAAAAAGAAAAGGCAGUGAGGUGGUGACGAUAAGCCUCACUCUCCAAUCUCUGAGAAAGGGCUUGAGUUACGGAUCGUGAUGAGAAGGAAGUAUGGGAAGGAUGCCUCAGUUAGUAGCGGCCAAGUCGCCCAGGCUCUGGCUGCGUAGUGUGCUCUUCCUGCCGACUUGGUUCGACUAGAGGGCCUGAAAGAGGAAUCAUUUCUUGAUCAGAUUGAUAGUGGGCUUAUAAUGGUAUUUCCUCUUACAUUCCUUGAUUUUUCAUGCUUUUCUCUUCCUUUUCUCAUUUCGCUUAUGUAUUGCGAUCUUUUGUGGUUCUGUUUGUUUCAGUUGGUGAGUGCCUAUAAUGAUACCCGUUGCUGCGUAAAGGAAUCGCGGGAGCUGGUCACUACUCUGACCAAGGACUUAAAGGUUGAAAAGUUGGAGAACUCUGUCCAAAGCUAAGCGUUGGAGCAUAGCCGCUUUGUGGAAAAAUAGAAGGACAAGAUCCAAUCUAUCUCCAAGGAUAGGGCCACACAUCUCGACUCCUCCCUCAAGCUCAGUGCUCGGGUGGAGCAGUUGAUUAAGCAAGAGGGAGAAUGCAUUGUCACCAUCCAACAACUCCAAGCUGACCUUGCUUGGGUUGAGGAUACUGCCGCCGUAAUCACUUGCUCGGUUAACGAUAUGUUAUUGCAUCAGUCGAAUCUCAUUGUGACUAAACUUCAAUCUGGGUUUCUUGAUAAGGAUUGGAGCUUUGUUAGCCAGAUUGAUGCAUAUCAGAACUUAGAUGAUGAGGAGGAAGUGGCUGCGGAGGCUGGAAUCUUAAGUGAGGGUGUGCAAGAUCCUGCUAUGGUUUGCGCCCUUAGGCUAUAAUCCAGGGAUAAAUAGUACCGAGAUGCUACAUAACAGAUUAUACAGAGUUAUUAUCAGAGGUAUAGGUCGCACCAUGUUCUGAGAAGUGGAAACCAGCAUAAAAAAAUUUCUUACUCUUUACAUACACUCAUAUACAAGAUAACACAUAGUAGAAAUAUAUCUUUUAUAUGGUUGACCAUAUAUAGUACAAUCUCCCUUAAUACAUGUAUACAAAACUGAGAAUGUGACAUAUGCAGACACAACUGAUCAUGAUCUUAGUUCCGUUUCUGCCAGUCUGAAUAGUUGAAAACCUGACUGCUAACGCGUCUUGGAGACAAAAUCUAGAAAAAUAUUAGCAUUUUCUAUAAGAUGCCACUCAGUGAGUAAAAAUCAUCAUAAAUGAUUUUUUGAAAUAACAUAGCAUAUCAUGAGCAUCUCAAAUAAAGCACAUAGUGAACUCCCAAAAAUCAAAAUAUCUCUAACUCCUCGGGCCACCAAUUCCCGACAUCAACAAUUAUCCCAUAAUAAUAGCCAUUCAUCAAAUCAUUCACAGCAAUAGUGUGUAGAUAUCACAUCAUUUCCAUUGAUAAAAAUUUAGAGCAUAGUCAUUCAAGGCAUCAUGGAUACGAUGCUACAGAGAUAUAAUUCAGAAGUAUGAUGAAGAUGAUUGCCAGAUUAUUUAUGUUAUGACAUGUCAAACCAAGCUCGCCCUCGGGGUAUCAGAUAACAAAUUUCAAAUAUUGAUUUAGCUUGCCAGCUUUCAGAUCAGAUUUUGAACACAUAGCUCCAGAUUUUCAGAUUUAUGAGCAUGCUGCUUCAGAUACAUAUUUGACCUUAUAGCUCCAAAUAACAGAUUAUGAGCACGCAGCUCCAGAUACAUAUCAGAUUUAUGAGUUGUUAAUGACAGUCAUAACUUUUAUUUAUCUCAGAUGCAGAAUUAACAGAAUUGCACUCACAAAUUAGGCUCUCAAACCUCAAAGUAAUACAUACCUUUUGCUUAAUUUGUCACCUUUUAGUAUCACAUCAUACUCCUUUCAAAGUAGAAUGUCAAAUACAGUGUAUUGUUAUAACAGAUAUCUCAAAUAAGCAUCCAUCACGUGUUAGGCAAUUUGGCCUCAAGAUAGUACAUACCUUUUUACUUAGCUUUCCUUUUUCCAUGAUAAGAAUCAUGUUCAUAUCAUUGCAGGAUGGCAUCAAAUGUUAAAAGCAUUCAUUGAUUACAUACAAUUAAAUAUUAGAUGCUUUUACUCACAGUACAUAAUGCAGUGGUAUCAAGGCCUGGAAGAGUCUCCUCCUUCACUUCCUUCUAGGAACCUUUUACCCAUAUGAGUAAGCAAGCACCCCAAUACUCAUUUAGUCAUUUAAUCAAACACUUAGUGUGCAUGACUUAAAUGCUUAAUAUUUUUAUUUCUCUUUGCAUUUUGAACUCUCAGAAAAUCUUGUAUAUUCUCUAACACUCACUUAACAAUCUUGUAAUCUCAACUCAUUCAAUUACUCAACAAUUAAUAUCAUUAAAAAUUCAUCAAACAUUACAUCAAUAAUGAAUAUUUUUUUAAGUUCCUUAAACUUCCAUAACCAUAUAAGUAUGAAGAUCUCAAUUUAAUCAUAAUUCCUUCCAAACCAACACUUAAUAACAUUAUUAGAAUGCUUAAUUAACUAAUUAAAUUCGUUAAUUCAAAAUGAAAUGAUCAUUUUCAUGAGCAUCUCGUGUUGGCCAAACCUCCAUCUUUAGCCUCAGAUAUGAUUUGUUCUUUGAAAUGAUCAUUUGAGUGAUCAUUUCGAACUGAUGGAACCUCCAUUCCUAACCUUGAGUAUGACUUUCUCAAUUCAAUCAAAUUAAAGCUUAAGUCACAUGUUAUUUAUUCAAUAACAACUAAUUAAUAACUUAAAUCAUGUUUACAUCAUUUGUUAACAUGAGAAUCAAUCUCCCCUUCAAUUUCUCUACUUUGAAACCCUAACCCAAACUUCUCCAAAUUAUGAAAAUAACUCAAACUAAUCAAAAAUUAACUUACCUUAGUUGGUUUCUAGCAAAAACCCUUUGAAAAUCAAGUAGGAUUUCUAAGUUCUUAAGGUUUCCCUCUUCUCCUCUCUAGCUUCGACCUCUUCUUCUCUCUUUUCUAACUUUUUGUUCUUUGAGCAAUUACUCUUCCUUUUAAUUCUUAUGAAUUGGUUGGUCAUGUGCAAGUUACAUGACCACUUAUUCCUCAUAACUCCUUAAGGUUUUACCUUUUUGUACUUUAACCCAUACUUAUUAUCAUAAAUUUUCUUUUAUGCUAAACAAGUCCAUGAUCCUCCAUUAACACUUAAUUAAUCUCAUUUAGGCCUUAAUUACACGUCUUAGAUGAUUAAACACAAAAUCAUUAAUUAAGUACUUAAUCAAAAUUUUAAUUGAGGUGCUUCACAAGCUAGCUUUUCAUUGCUAUGAUUUGAGCACGUUUAACCUUCUCCUAAUUAAUCUCCAUAAUCAUUUUUGACUUUGAUUAAUUUAUAAUCUUGUGAUUAAGAAUUUCUUACUAAUAUAUUAAGACGGCUUUAAUCAAUCUAAUCCCUAAAAUAGACAUAAUUCUCCAUAAUAGUCUCAUUAUUCUCUCUUGAGUCAACUCAUUUAUAAACUCCAUAUAUAGGUGUACUGAAAGGUUUUAAAGAACAUAUAUGCACUCUCUGUGUCUACGACAGAGUGCCAAACUUUUCGGGUUCAGAGCUUAUUCAGAUUAUGUAUUUGCAUAUUCACAUUCUUAUCAGAUGCUUAUAUGCAAAGUCGUGCAUAGAGAUGGAAGCGGAAGGGGUAUUUAAAGGUAUCCGAUCCGAUCUGAUCUGUUUAUUACAGAUUUGGGUAGUUGUAAACGGAUUUAAAAUAGAUAUAGAUAGUAAAAUUACUAACCGCGACAAAUUCGGGUAGGAUACAGAUUUCAGUCAAUGGUUAUCCGUUACCCGCUAUCCGUUAGAUUAGGCUACCCGCAGAUACCCUACCCUUUUAUCCAUAAUAAUAAUAUAUUUAUUAUAUAAAUAUUGGUUUAGAGAUUUGAAACUUUGACCUGUUUAAAAAAGAGAAUGAUGAUAUUUAUAACUAAACCAUAUUAGUAUAUUUGUUAACUUAAAGGAAAUAAGCCUAUACAUACAUAUUAAUUAGCUAGAAUUCAUGAAUUUUUAUUCAUUAUAAUUUCUUAUUUUAUUUUUUUAGGAUAGUAUUUCUUUUUAAUUGUUUUCUCAAAGAAUAUAUUAUGCUUUUAAUACUAAGUAAUACAAUUUAUCCAUAUAUUAUAAUAUAUUCAUCUAAAAUACAAUUCGAUUUUAAUUCAAUUCGGGUUGAAAAUGAACCGAUGGCCAUGCCUACUAGAACCGACCACAAGUCCAAAAACCCUAAAGACAACAAAUUAAUUCCUGAACUAUGUGUGAAAGGUGUUUUACAAAACUGUUCUAAAACCAUAAAUUAUUUCCAUUACUUGUCUAACUUCACAGCCACAACUGUUUGCGAUCCUUAGAAGACAGGAACAAUUCAAAAGCUUUGGAUUGAAGUUACAAUUCGAACUGGAAGACUCCAUAAACCUUGGUUUUCUACCAUCUAACUCUGUUUAACACAUAAAUAAUUACAAAUUAUGAAAAAAUUAGCAAUUUCAAUUUAUAAGAUAAAAAUAACAUUGACUUGCCUUCAGUUAUUGAUUUCAAAAUGGAUGCAUAACGCUUCAACUUUUCAUCAAAACUUUCCUGUUCAGCACCACUUUGUUGCGUUAGUAAUUCCUCCAUAGUUAUUCCAGGCCAUUUUCCUUGUUGAACCAUAGGUAAACUCUGCUGAAAACAAUGUUAGACUAUUUGGUUUAAGUUUGAAAGAAAAGUAAAUGGGAGGUGUAAACAAGUCGACCCCAGCUCCAACCCACCGAGCUCAAAACUUGAUCUGCCUGAAAAUUUUAGUCUCGAACUUGACUUGAGGCUUAAAUUCAACUCUAAAAAUUUUGAGUUCGACAUCAAGUGAGUCUACAAUAAAUAUUAUAUAUAUGUAUAUAUAAAAGCUCAAUAAGUUUUGGAACUGAACAUCACUAGGCUUGAACUUUAACUUGAUUGUAGCCGAACUUUUUCAAAUUUUUUUCAAGUCGAACUCCAACAGCUCGCGAGCCAACUCGACAGGCAGGACAAAAGAACAAGCAUGGAAUUUUGGUAAAAAAUUCGAGAUAAGAAGCUGAAGCAUUUCAACUGUAAGAGGUAGCUUCCUGAACUCAUUAUACAUGUAAACUAGUGUAAAUAUCCUAUAGUCAGGCAGCCAUUGAUUCAAUGGAACACUAACAUCAACUUUCUCCUUGCAUCCAAGUAAAUCGCCCAUGCCUAUUUGGAAUUGGAAGGCAAUCGUUAUACGUGUCAAAAUAAUCUUAGCAAAAAUAAAUGUCAAAACUUAUCAAUACCGAAAAGACGACUAACAAAAGGUAAAACAUCAAAGACUUCAAAAUCAUCUAAUUGCUCUCCUUUUUCAAUAAAUAUAAGAGGAGUUUCUGUUGCCGCAACACUGCAUACAACACAGUAAAUUUACAAUUAGUGUAAAGGUUUUUGAUAGAGACUUCAUCAAAUACCAGUAGUGUACAAUGGAAUGUUUUUAUGAUGCGCUAACGAUUUGAUCACUAUAUAAUUUGUAGCUCCAUGAUGUUUCGGUUUAUAGAUAUAUCAAAAAAGAUGUACAGUCUAAUGAGACUACUACGGAAUAUCAAAAAUUAAGUGAAACAAAUUAUGAAAAUAUCUUCUGGUGUUAAUUGCACGAACAGAGAACUCUUUAGCUCCACCAAUGCUGCUAUCCAUAACAAAUAUAACAACAUCCGGUUUCUGGAAGAUAUAAAAGAUUAACUUUAAUUAGCAAUUUAAUAUAACAAGAUAACAGAAAGGCACACACUUAAGAACAAAACUUAUGUACAGUUGCUUCAGAAACUUGGCGCAUUUCUUCGAAAAGAGCAGCUUCAUGUUUAUGAUGCCCACUUAUAUCAAUAUUUUCAAGAAUUAUAGGUUUUAUUUAAAAAUUGAAAUUAUUAAUAAAUUUAAUCUCAUUCCUUUAAAACCCAACACUAUCUUUUUUUUUUUUUUUUUUGAUUCCCAUCUGAUGGAGCAGCUGCUACAUCAGGAUAAAAAAUUUUGUAGAGAACUGACUUUUGGUCAUGGACAACUAAAAGAUCUCAACACAAGUGAGCUUUUAUUUUCUUGUUUUCUAUGUUGAAUGUGAAGCUUUCUUUGUGGUUAAUUCAAUAAUAAUUUAACAUUUUUGCUCCGUUUGGUUGCCUAGGAAAUGCAGAAUUUAAUUUUUCUAGUUGUUGAUUGUAAUGGCAAAAGAUGCGAUUUAUAAAAAUUAACUUUAUUUUGACUCAUUGAAUACUUUAAUUUAUAAAACUUCAUUAACUAAACACUUCAACUCGCAAAAUCAUUUUACUGAAAAUUUCAAUUCGAAAAAUUAAAUUCAUUAAGCUCUUAUUAGAUAGUUGAAAAUUGUAAAAUUGAUUAUUUUAAAAGUUAUAUUAACCACAUACCAAAUUAAAAUAUUGCAUAUAAAAACAGACAAAAUAACCCAAAUUAAAAUAUUGCAUAUAAAAACAGACAAAAUAACCCAAAUUAAAAUAUUGCAUAUAAAAACAGACAANNNNNNNNNNNNNNNNNNNNNNNNNNNNNNNNNNNNNNNNNNNNNNNNNNNNNNNNNNNNNNNNNNNNNNNNNNNNNNNNNNNNNNNNNNNNNNNNNNNNNNNNNNNNNNNNNNNNNNNNNNNNNNNNNNNNNNNNNNNNNNNNNNNNNNNNNNNNNNNNNNNNNNNNNNNNNNNNNNNNNNNNNNNNNNNNNNNNNNNNNNNNNNNNNNNNNNNNNNNNNNNNNNNNNNNNNNNNNNNNNNNNNNNNNNNNNNNNNNNNNNNNNNNNNNNNNUUAUUUUUAUUUUUAUUUACUAUUAUUGUAAUUUAUCUUCAAUAUUAUUAUUUUAAAUGAAUAUGUGUAAAUGUGAGGCAUUUGAAAAUUUUUAUUUUUUUCACUUUUAUUUUAAAUAAAUAUAUCUAGAUAAUUAAAAUUUUGAUUUAAAAAGGGUAUGGUUAAAUUUCUUUUAUUACAAAUUGUACUUUAAUUUAGUUGGCCAAAAUAUAAGACAAAAAAUAUUAUUCUUAAACAUCUUCAAUUAAAUUAAUUAUAUUGAUAUCUUAUUUAAUUCAAAUUAUAUUCUUUCUAUUAAGGAAUAUAAUUUUACUAAUAAAUUUUUUAAUGAAAUUAAAAAUAAUUCAUAUUUAAAUUGAUAUUUAUAAAUAUUUAUUAUUAUUUUGAUUGUCUAAAAAUAAUUCAAAAUCUUUAAUAUUAUUUAUUAUUAUUAUUAUUUAAUUCAAAAUAAUUCAUGAUUUUGAUUGUCUAAAAAAUUAAAAAUAAAAAUUUAUUAUUAUUUAUAAAUAUUUAAUUUGAUUUAUUUGAUUAUUUUGUCAUUCUAUUAUUAAAGUAUAUUUAUUUACUAAAAGAGAUUAUAGUAAAAGUUAUUAACAAAAUAUGUAAUUUAAUUAUAAAACGUAAAAUAAAAGUUAUAUGACGAUUUUUACAAAUGAAUUGGUACUUACAUAAAAAAUAAAAGUAACUGGCGUGUAAUAAAAAUUAUAUGAACUACUAUGUUGAAGAGAACAUAAAUGACAUAUUUCAUACGUAAAUUGAUAUUUUAAAAGGAGAAAUAAAUAUACCAUUUUUUUAAUGAGAUAUUACAGUGCAAGACAUAUAACUAAAAAAAUAUUUUACUGUAUAUGUAAAAAUCACUAUAUUUAUUGCAAUCUAAAUAAGAAUUUAUACUUUAAUUAUAUAAAUAAAAAAAUAAACGAGUAUAAAAAAAUCAAUAUAUAAUGAGUAUAGUUAACACUUUGCUUAUUCUAGCUAUUAUAAUGAUAAAAGAUUCAUAUAUAAUCCACCUUAACUAGGCUCAAUUGAAUCUAAAAGUCAAAAACUGAGAAACUUUUAUUGCGUGUAUGUAAUGUCAUCAAAAUUUUUAAAUUUAUGGGCGUAAUAGGUCCUUUCAAAAUUUAGAAAGCCAUAAUUUGUUUUUUUUUUUUUUUUUUUGGCCAUAACUGUUAUUUCUGCUAAAGCUUUUUCCAAAAACAAAUUUGAGUCUUAAGGAGGAGUCCUAACGUUUUUCUAUGUUACUAUAGUAUAUUUCUUAGUUAAGAAAAAUUGAAAUUAGACCCUAAAUUAUAGUCAAAUUAAUAUAUGAAAAAUUCUAUUUUUAAAAACUAAUUAUGAUGUCCAUGACUUAUUUGAUUAUGAAUUAGGGACCAAUUUAUUUUUUUAGCUUUUAGAUAUUUUUGGUUUAAAUUAAGCUAUGAUUAAAUGUAUCGAUCAUUUUUUGUGUAAGAGAAAGUAGAACUCUUAAAAUUAUGUGAUGUAGUAGUUGAUUAAGUGGUUUGUUCGGUAAAAUUAAAUGUUUUGCUAGUUGUUAUCUGUUUUAGUAGUGUUUAACUGUAUUAGUUAUUCGAGUAGUUUUUUAUGAAAUGUUAAAAGUUAAGUAUUACAUGAAUUAACUUUUUAUAAAAUGUUAUUUUUUAACCUCUAAAAAUUAGUUUAAAUGUUAUAUUAUCAAACACCCUAUGUUUAGCGUUUUCGAUAGAAAUUACUCAAAAUGGCGGACACAGCCUAAUGUACUUUUUGAUUAAACUUGUUGUUCAAACCUCUAGUACUAUCUAGUAUAUAUUAUAUUUUAUUUCUAAGCUAAUCCCACCAUCUACUUUGGGCGCAUGUUAACUCAUUUGCAUCAUACUGAUGGAGAGUUGAUGAACAACAGGAACAAUAAUUUUGGUUUCAAAAACUUUAAGUUGCUUUUGAUAGAAAAUUAAAAUCUUUUUUUCACUGUAGUCGCUAAUUUUUUUUUUUUUUUGACUAUUUUUUAUUUUAAACUCUCUUUUAGUUCAUUAUUUUUUAUGGGAUUAUUUACAAGUUUGAUUAUGUUUGAUUUAAUUAUUAUGUCAAACUAAACUCUCAUACUUAAUUUCUUUGUGGGAUUUUUUUGCUUUUGUUCAUUAUUCUUGCUUAAUUUCUUUUUAUUCUCUUUUAUUUCCUUCAAUUUAAAUUUCUAGAUUAUUUACUUCUUAUCAUCGGCCACUACAAAAAAAUCGCCGAUUUGCGACCGAUUUUUGCGACCGCCUAAAAUCGGUCGUAAUUUUGUGACCGAAUUGCAACCUAUAGACAAACAGUAGCUAAUUGUAGCGCUAAAAAUUUCCGCGAGUUUGUUUUUCAGUUUGCGACUAGUGUACUACGGAUUUGCGACCGAUUUGCGACUACAUUUUUUCUGUCGCAAAAUUGCGCGCUUCAAAAUUAGGAAUAAGUUUUGAGACCGAUUUGCGACCGAUUUUUUGCGAUCGACAGGUUGAGUCGCAAAUCGGUCGCAAUUUUAUUGCGAAGUAAACCGACGUCGCCGAGUUAAAAAAUUGCGACCGAUAUUAAUGACAUUUGCGACCGACUGGGCUUUAAACGCCAGACGCCCUCCUUCUUCUUUCUUCUUUCUUCUUUCUUCUUCUUUCUUUCUUCUCCUCCUCCUCUCCUCUCCUCCGUUCGCAACGCCACUCCAGCCCUUCCUGAUGCCGCUCCAGCCCGCCUGACGUUGCCAUCUCCGCUCUGUUCACUCCAUUGCUAUUUGGACACAAGUUGAGGUAAGUCUUGCAAUUUUUUUUCGAUUUUUUUUUUUUUGCAAUUUUAUGUGUUUUUAUUAUAAUAAUUUUUGGUAAGUUUUGUGUNNNNNNNNNNNNNNNNNNNNNNNNNNNNNNNNNNNNNNNNNNNNNNNNNNNNNNNNNNNNNNNNNNNNNNNNNNNNNNNNNNNNNNNNNNNNNNNNNNNNNNNNNNNNNNNNNNNNNNNNNNNNNNNNNNNNNNNNNNNNNNNNNNNNNNNNNNNNNNNNNNNNNNNNNNNNNNNNNNNNNNNNNNNNNNNNNNNNNNNNNNNNNNNNNNNNNNNNNNUUGUUGUUGUUGUUGUUGUUGUUGUUUCUCUUUCAUCCAGACCUUCCAUGAAGCAAGUGGCCCAAAGAUUGAAGCGGAUUCAGCCUGCAACAUCUUAACUGAAGCUUUUUUCAUCCAGACCUUCCAUGAAGCAAGUGGCCCAAAGAUUGAAGCGGAUUCAGCCUGCAACAUCUUAACUGAAGCUUUUGACAUGUUUGUUUGAUGCUUCACUUUUCAUGUGCUCAUGGUAUUCCAUUAAAUUGUAAUAUCUUGUUCUUAUAUCAAGUUAAUUGUGCAACAGGUCUUUGCCACUGCUCAAAAGGAGUGCGUGGAUUCUUUCUUUUCACAGGUUUGAGUCUUAUUUUUAAGUUUGCAUUAUUGAGUUGCAAAAGCUCAUGCAUUGCCAGUUUCUUAUAUCUCAUUAAACAUAUUUUGAAUAUAAUGCUCAAUCAUGUAGCUUUGCUAUCUUAAUGCAAAUUUCUACAAUAUUCCAUAAUGCUGAGUGACACUAUAGUUCUCUUCCUUCUGCACUUUUCUAGCCUGUAAGACAGAAAAAGAUUACUGCUAUCUUUAUUAUUUAUCGUUUCCACUUUGCUGCAGAAUUCUUUUAUAAGCUAUGACACUCUGAACAAACUUGGAAUUUCCCAGCCUGUCCAGUUCUUGCAGGUAUUUUAUUGAGUUCAUGUUGAUUUUUUUUUUUAAAUUUGGAUUAAUUUUUCCUGCUCCUAGGAUCAUAGAAUUGGUUUUAAGCAUUUAUUGACUACUUGAGAAUGCUUCUGUCUAAUCAAAACUGCGAUCCUACACUCCAAUUUAGUCCAGGUAUCCUAAAGGUAUACCUUUAGUUACUGCAUUUGCUCACCCUUCCUUGACUGAGAUGUUAGAUGCUGCUGUUGAGGAUGCUAUUGAGCGUGGUAGCUGAUAAGAGAAAUAAUGAAAUGAUCAAUUUUUUAUUCUUUUGUUUGUGCUUUUUGUUAUCUUGCAAAAUAACAUCAUAAUUGCUUGUAUGCCUUAUUUUUAAUUUGAUAGAUUUUAUUCAAUGUUGAUAAAAUUGUUUAGUGAUUUUUUUGAACAAAUGUAUAGUGUCUGAAUUCUGAAGACAAAGAAUUAUACCUUUAUUUGUGGUUAAUACCAGGAGUUAUACUGGUGUUUAUAUGUAUAGUUUCGUAUAAAUGGGUCAUUUGAAGUUUUAUACUGAAGUUUUGUAACGUUCUUUAUCACAUUGAAGUUUUAUAAGUGUAGCUUCCUAUGGACCGUAUUUGAGGGUUGAAAAGGAAAUUUCAUUUUCUUUAUUUCUCUGAAGAAGUUAACCACUUAUAGUUGUUUGGUAACUUAGAUUUUAGUUAUUUUUCUUAACUCUUUUAUUUGUUGAGAUACUUGCUAUGGAGUAUUUUUGCCAAUCACUACUAGUCUGGUACAUUCUAUAUGCUAAAGCAUGUAUGCUGACUUUUGCCUUUUUGCAGUCUUUCCUAAAUUUGCUGCUGUACAUUCUAUAUUUAUUUUUUUUUUAAUUUUUUUAAUUUUGCGACUAAUUUGCGACCGAUUAGCGACCAAAAAUAAAAAUUUUAAAUUUACAAUUUGCGAUCGAAUUGCGACAGAAUUUUCUGCGACCAAUUUGCGACCGACGAAAAAAUCGGUCGCAAAAUAGUUUGCGACGAGCAUAUUUGCGACCAAAAAAUAUCGGUCACUAAUUGAAUUUAGCGACCGAUUUUUUGGCAUUUUGCGACCGAUUGGUCGGUCGCAAAAUGCCGUUUUUUUUGUAGUAGGUUAAUACAAUUUUAAUAUUUAGUAAACAAUCGUUGCGGGAAUGAUACUCUAUUCACUCUUUAUUAUUUGUUUGCGAUUUUGUAUAUUUGCGAAAAAGCCUAUCACAUCUCUUUUUACAUUUUAAGCAUUGUUAUUCUCUAUCAUUAUUACUUUCAUUAUAUGAGUCAAUUUUAAUCUCCACCUACAUACAAGAAACAUUUUUUAUACUGUCCAUUUUAUUUUUUUUAAAAUAAUCAUUAAAGCAUUUACUUAAGCAGUUCGACAACAACUUAUAAUUUUAAUGUUUUGACCGAUUAAAAUAAUAAAUGUUAUUUUUUAUGAUACUUAGUAAUAUAAGAUUUGAAGUAACUUUCAAAGGUUAAAAUAACAUUUUAUAAAAAAAUUAAUUUUAUAAUAUUUAAUUUUUUAAAUUUUAUAAAAACUAUUUAAAUAGUUACUGACUACUCAAUUAAAAUAAUUAAUUUUAUGAAACAGACCUAUAAAUAAAAAACAAA